AGUGAACGCUGGCGGUAGGCCUAACACAUGCAAGUCGAACGGCAGCACAGUAAGAGCUUGCCCUUACGGGUGGCGAGUGGCGGACGGGUGAGGAAUACAUCGGAAUCUACUUUUUCGUGGGGGAUAACGUAGGGAAACUUACGCUAAUACCGCAUACGACCUACGGGUGAAAGCAGGGGAUCUUCGGACCUUGCGCGAUUGAAUGAGCCGAUGUCGGAUUAGCUAGUUGGCGGGGUAAAGGCCCACCAAGGCGACGAUCCGUAGCUGGUCUGAGAGGAUGAUCAGCCACACUGGAACUGAGACACGGUCCAGACUCCUACGGGAGGCAGCAGUGGGGAAUAUUGGACAAUAGGCGCAAGCCUGAUCCAGCCAUACCGCGUGGGUGAAGAAGGCCUUCGGGUUGUAAAGCCCUUUUGUUGGGAAAGAAAAGCAGCAGGUUAAUACCCCGCUGUUCUGACGGUACCCAAAGAAUAAGCACCGGCUAACUUCGUG
rnacentral:rRNA from 1 species